UCGACCGGCGCACGGGUGAGUAACGCGUAUCCAACCUGCCUUACACUCUUGGACAGCCUUCUGAAAGGGAGAUUAAUACAAGAUGUUAUCAUGAGUAAGCAUUUCGCAUGAUUAAAGGUUUACCGGUGUAAGAUGGGGAUGCGUUCCAUUAGAUAGUAGGCGGGGUAACGGCCCACCUAGUCUUCGAUGGAUAGGGGUUCUGAGAGGAAGGUCCCCCACAUUGGAACUGAGACACGGUCCAA
rnacentral:rRNA from 1 species